rnacentral:rRNA from 1 species
AUGACCCAAAAUGUAGAUCAUAUGGAGCAAAAGAGGCAACUGGAAAGGGAACGGUAUUCACAAAAUAGGGAUGACAUAAUAAAAAGACAACGUCAAGCCUACGGUCAGAAAAAAUUGUCUCAGGCUUCUACAGGGACCGGUGCCCAGAAAGAUGAAACACAAACACCGAUGUCCACAUCCAUUGACCCUAAAGAGUUAAGGAGGCAAAGGGACAGGGAGCGGUAUGCACAAAACAGGGAUGAAAUAUUAAGAAGAAAACGCCAAUCCCGUGAACAGUCAAAGACAUCUAUUGCCACCGUUAACAGUGUUGACAAUGUGUCACGCACACCAGCUACAGGACAAUCGGGUGUCAGCCAGCUACAAACAAUAUCAUUUGCAGGCUUAUCAAACAUGCCAACUUCAUCCCAAUCACAUGAAGGGAUCCCUCCUCACAAGGACAAUAUUUUAGGAAACAUUGAUGAAUCCAAUUGGUUGCAUAGGAAUGAUGCAUAUCAGAUGGUAGAAAUUGCAGGGAGACUGAGAGCUGUUGUUGUACCUCUUGGUCAUGAAACGCAAACAAUUUCCAAUGUCACUGCAGAUAUUGCACCAGUGGGCAACGACCAGACAGCUGAUCCAUAUGGAAUAUUUGAGCCUCCUGUUCAACAAACCAAUUUUCAAGAUUACAUGGAGCCACUGCAGAAUGGAGAAGCCGCAUACCAUGAUCCUGAUGAAGAAGCUAUACUAUUUAUAGGUCAGGAUGUUGCUUUCGAGUCGUACCAGCUUGGACGCCAGAAUGCACAAGUAGGACCUGUAGCAGUGAUUGAUGAAUUCAUAUACCGAAACCUACCUACAAAGCACCAUGUCCUAAAAAAGGUUGCAGACUGCCUUCACUGUGGGGCUUUGCGGUUUCCAUUCGAGGGGCCAGCAUUUUGUUGCAGAAAAGGAAAAGUAUCGGUCAUCAUUUCUUAUUCUUCAAUUCUUAUUGUGUCAAUCAUUAUGAGUCCAGCCAGCACACUGAUAUUUAUGUUGUCAAUCUGUAGAGGACAACGAUGA